rnacentral:rRNA from 1 species
UCCUACGGGAGGCAGCAGUGAGGAAUAUUGGUCAAUGGACGAAAGUCUGAACCAGCCAAGUAGCGUGCAGGAAGACGGCCCUCUGGGUUGUAAACUGACUUUUAGUUGGGAAUAAAAAGAGGGACGUGUCCCUUAUUGUAUGUACCAUCAGAAAAAGGACCGGCUAAUUCCGUGC